CUUCCCAAUUUUACUGAGGAGGAAACUGAAGCUCAAAGAGAAUCUCUCAUGCAAGCAACGUCAUACAACUAAUGACUGGACCAGAGGCAAACACCUUGAUGCAAGGCCACCUCGUCCAUUGGUUGGCCAUGAACGAUCAAGUCAUUUUGGGAAAAAGCCAUCUAGAAUCAGGGCCAAAGUCAGCCCUAGAUCACAACAAAGUCACAAAGUCAUGUGCUAACUGAAAUUAUGAGAACUGAAACCAUCAGGAAGAUGGCAGGGAAGGGGAGG
rnacentral:lncRNA from 1 species